rnacentral:rRNA from 1 species
CGGACGGGUGAGUAACGCGUGGGUAACCGUGCCCUGUACAGGGGGAUAACAGUUGGAAACGGCUGCUAAAACCGCAUAACAUGGAGAUACCGCAUGAUAUUUCCAUCAAAUAUUUAUAGGUACAGGAUGGGCCCGCGUCUGAUUAGCCAGUUGGCAGGGUAAUGGCCUACCAAAGCGACGAUCAGUAGCCGGCUUGAGAGAGUGACCGGCCACAUUGGGACUGAGACACGGCCCAAACUCCUACGGAAGGCAGCAG